rnacentral:rRNA from 1 species
CAGUCGUACCGACGGAAAAUCAGCUCUUCGAGUGCGAACUUGUGGGCGUGCGUGAGUCUUUAACGGGCCUCGCUGUUUGCAAUGUUUGUCCUUUUGGGGUGUACUUUUUCGUAUGGUAGGCCAACGUCAGUUUCGAUCACCGUAAAAUGAUCGGAGGAAUGUAGCUUUGAUCUCGUAUUGAAGUUGUUAUAGCCUUGGUAGAUGUGACG